UAUAGCUUUUCAAGUUAUUUUUGAGUCAGUGUGAGCAUUCAAUUAUUUCCUGUUAAAUAGGGAACAAAACAGGCCUAAAGACUGAAAGGAAGAGCUGCUGUGGGAAGUGAUCUCUCCAGAGGGAAGCAUGCUAGCGACUCCUGGUUUGUGACUCACAAUGAGCCCAGAGCACUCUGCCAUAUGGAUGGCAGCCGUCACUCAGCAGACUCCCGAGCUCCUACUCUGCAUCCGAUGGGCUUUGGGACACAAACGCACUGCUGGAAUCAUAGCCAAGGAGUGGCUGAGACUGCUUGGGGCCUUCAGAUUUCAUAAUUUAAAACUCACCAAUGCCUCCCACAUAAGACUCUUGUCAACCGACAGCCCAAGGGAUGAAGUUUUGACCUCCCCGUGCCACUGUCUGCCACCACUGAUUUCACUCUCAUUAUCAUCGGUAAUUAUUUGUGAGUCCCCUGGAAUUCUACCUUGCUCUGUCUCACAAUCUCCUCGUUAGUGCUUCUUCCUGGUGUGCAGGUUCAUCAUGCAGUUCCUUGGACAGGCGCCCUCGGCCUCCUUCACUACCAAUUUGGUUAUCAGAUGCUUUAAGGAAUGGCAGGGGAAAUUGUGUUUUCAGAAGAGAAAUCAACCAGGAACAUUAACCAGCCUGACUUGGCUUAUAUGGACUCCUGAGAGAAAGAAAAUAAAAGGCUCCAGCCAGAAAUCUGUGAAAACAAGACAUUGUUGUAUUAACCUCAAUGAAAAACAACUAAGCAAAUGUAAAUAUAUUCCUGCAUCAAUAUUCGAAUGUGAGGCCUUUGCUAAAUGAAUCGGAUGAACUCUGCUCUGCGAUAAUCAUAUGGGAUCACUCCUCAUUUCAUGAGGAUUCAAUGGUUUAAGAGAGAGAAGAGAUUUUCCUCUGUAUUUCUCAAGAUUUCACAUUCAAUGUGAAUGUCAAUGUGAGUUGCGUGGAAUGCUAAUGGAGACAAAUAAUUAUCAUAAUAAAUCUGUGGAGCUUCUUAUGGGCUGCAAAGUGUUUUUCAA